AGGUUCGGACUCCUGUUCUUACGGUGGUCACCGAAGUAAGGUAGGGAUUCAUCCAUACCUUUUAAACAAUGGUUAGCCUCAGUGAGGGAAAGGUAUGUUUGAGGAUGGUUCAUGAAGUUCUUAACCCGAAGUACCUCUAAUUCGAGAUGGGUAAAGAGGAUGGUGAGUUAUGGUUUGUUUGGUGUAACAAUGAUAGAGCCACUAAUGGCUAACUCCGAUCCGCGUAACUAUUACUUUGUUAAAUUUUGUCAAUUCAUUACCUUAUGUUGAUUCUCGGUUUUCUUAUUCUUAUCUUCUUUGAUUAACAGAAUAUAUGAAUGUAGAAUGUUUUUUAUGUUUAUCAAGCUAAACCAGAAACAUAAUGUAAUCCAAAUCAUCCCUAUUCAUUGCAUAAAGGGAGUUAUGUUCAGGGUGCCUUAUUAUGAAAUCUUGACAAAAUGUCCGCUGGUGCGUUUAAUAAAUAUGUAAAUAUGUUAAAACAAAUUUCAAUUCGCAAUCACUUGAAUAAGAUGAAUACUGUACCUGCGAGUAUACCUUUUUUCAUUUGCUCUUUGAAUGACAGCCUUCUGUUCCUGGUUGUUUUUCUUUGCACUUGUAUGUCGUUCUUUGAUUUGCGAUACACGUAUAUGUGAUAUUUCCUAAUUUUUUGAUAGUUGUAUGUAUUGUGAAUAUAUGUUGAUUUCACAAUGUAUGUGUGAUAUGUACGUGUUCUCCUCUCUUUUUGCUGAGUGUGGUGUAUAUGAUAUAUGUAUGAUAUCGUGGAAUUUUUAGGGAUGGUAGGAUAAAGAGAGGAUGACAAGUUUUAGUGGGGUUGAUUGAGAAAUUCUGACUAAGAAGGUGCUGUAGUGUUAGAAUUUUGAGAGGGGAUUUGGCCUCUUUCACUGUGUUGUUUAUCCUUACAGCACUGCAUACAGGCUCUGUUUUCUUUAAUUUUCGUGUGGUGAGCCCCCUUUUUCUGGUUGUAAUGCCUCUCCUUUUAUAGCUGAGUAGUGGUGCUCUUUGGGUUUAUAAUUGAAAGUC
rnacentral:lncRNA from 1 species